CCAAGUUGAAAGCUACAAGGCAAAGACCAGCUGUUUGCCUUGACGAUUACCACAUUUAGCUUACGAUGUAGAUUGGAUUCGAUCAUCAUAUCAUAGUUUAUAAAAAGGUAUGAGGUUUGUGUCCAUGAUAGCCAGGGCUAUCAGACGGACAUCGUUUAAUGGGGGCCAAACCUUUUUUUCUCAAUAAUUCAGAGCACCCUCUUUUCUCUCUUUUGCUUCUCUGAAACCACUUCUAGGCUUCGAGCAGAAUACUUGGGUUUAAUCUGUUUGAUCCGUAGGGGUUAACAUGGUUAAGGGAAAUGUGAUGUAGUGCUUCCUGAAUCUCGAAUAUAAUCCUUCAAAGGUGAUGUAAUUGCAGCAAUAAAUCCUUCUCAGAAGAUAAUCUAGCAAAUACGAUCACCACCUAAUUUUUCAAUUUCUCAAGUCAUGAUAUCUAGGGUUUUUAAUUCGUUGUUAUUUCGAAUUGUGGAUUUCCUCCUGUUUGCGGAUCCUGAUAAAAUUCAUAACGAUGUUGCAAUAUAGGGUGUUAGGUUUAGGCAAAAUUUAGUGUUUUUUCCAAAUUGGGGUUUUCUGGGUUUGGCAAAUUUUAGAGUUUUGUGCCUUUACGUCUCAGCAAGCAACUGUUGCUGAUGAUGAUGUUACUCCUACUCCUGCGAUAGUAAUUUCAACUCCAGCAUCAACUUUUGAUUCCUGCCGAGUUUGUCGAGAAUCUGCUACAAAAAUCAUUCAUGAGAGUGGAUGGGAAUAUGAAUGGUUGCAAUGUCUGCUUUACGAAAGUCGUGGAGAAGAGUGUUAUCUUUGCUAAAAUAGAUGUAGAGCUGAAGUCCCCAACCCAGUACCCAGGUGGUGCCUGAUUCGCUGGGAAGUCAUAGACCAUACCUGCAGUACUGUUGUAUUCGGUGCCUUAAAAUUCAUGGUUGAAACGAUUGUGGGGCGCCCAUCAAGGGACAUGGUUUUCCUGUCAGAGGGCAAUGUAAGUGCUGGGAUAUGUUGAUUGUGAGUCUGAGUACGUUGAAUGGCUUGCUGCUGAGAGUGUGUCAUCCAUGGGAGGAAUGGGGAAAACUAAUCAUGAAUAUAUACAUCUGAGAAACGGCGUAACACAACCAGAAGCUUAUGGUGAUGAACCGGAAGAUGAUGAGUUCAUGUACAAUAUCAUGAAGAGUGUAGCCAGUACUUACCAGCAAAGCUAUCGGUGACAUGGCUAGCAUUCCGUUGACUUAAAGGCAAAUUUGGUGUGAACUUUCGACUCACGACUCUUACUGGCACAAGGAUCGAGAUGAGGCAGUAGAAGCAGUGGCGACAGGUGUCAGACCACUAACUUCCGUUGAAGAUACCUCCAAAUGUACAUCUAUGACACUCUAGCACCUGCACUACCAGCAUCUGAAGAAUGAAAACCUUGGUAUCAUAAUUGUAAACUGCGUUGGAGCGGCAUUAGUAUGCAACAAAUACGACAGUCCAGGGAGAA